rnacentral:rRNA from 1 species
GACGAACGCUGGCGGCGUGCUUAACACAUGCAAGUCGAACGGAAAGGCCUCUUUCGGGGGGUACUCGAGUGGCGAACGGGUGAGUAACACGUGAGUAACCUGCCCUUGACUUUGGGAUAACUUCAGGAAACUGGGGCUAAUACCGGAUAGGAGCUCCUGCUGCAUGGUGGGGGUUGGAAAGUUUCGGCGGUUGGGGAUGGACUCGCGGCUUAUCAGCUUGUUGGUGGGGUAGUGGCUUACCCAGGCUUUGACGGGUAGCCGGCCUGGGAGGGUGACCGGCCACAUUGGGACUGAGAUACGGCCCAGACUCCUACGGGAGGCAGCAGUGGGGAAUAUUGCACAAUGGGUGGAAGCCUGAUGCAGCAACGCCGUGUGCGGGAUGACGGCCUUCGGGUUGUAAACCGCUUUCGCUCAUGACGAAGCUUUGUGUGACGGUAGUGGGUAAAGAAGCACCGGCUAACUACGUG